rnacentral:rRNA from 1 species
AGAGUUUGAUCAUGGCUCGAGACGAACGCUGGCGGCGUGCUUAACACAUGCAAGUCGAGCGAAGCACUGGUUUGAAUCUUUUCGGAGUGACGAACCUUUGACUGAGCGGCGGACGGGUGAGUAACGCGUGGGGAACCUGCCCCAUACCGGGGGAUAACAGCGGGAAACUGCUGCUAAAACCGCAUAAGCGCACGAGGAGGCAUCUCUUUGUGUGAAAAACUCCGGUGGUACGGGAUGGACCCGCAUCGGAUUAGCCAGUUGGCGGGGUAACGGCCCACCAAAGCGACGAUCCGUAGCCGGCCUGAGAGGGCGACCGGCCACAUUGGGACUGAGACACGGCCCAAACUCCUACGGGAGGCAGCAGUGGGGAAUAUUGCGCAAUGGGGGAAACCCUGAUGCAGCGACGCCGCGUGAGUGAAGAAGUAUUUCGGUAUGUAAAGCUCUAUCAGCAGGGAAGAAAAUGACGGUACCUGAGUAAGAAGCCCCGGCUAACUACGUGCCAACAGCCGCGGUAAUACGUAGGGGGCAAGCGUUAUCCGGAUUUACUGGGUGUAAAGGGAGCGCAGACGGCGCAGCAAGUCUGAAGUGAAAGCCCGGGGCUUAACUCCGGGACUGCUUUGGAAACUGCUGUGCUUGAGUAUCGGAGGGGCAGGCGGAAUUCCCAGUGUAGCGGUGAAAUGCGUAGAUAUUGGGAAGAACACCCAGUGGCGAAGGCGGCCUGCUGGACGAUAACUGACGUUGAGGCUCGAAGGCGUGGGGAGCAAACAGGAUUAGAUACCCUGGGUAGUCCACGCGGUAAACGAUGAAUACUAGGUGUUGGCAUCCAAAGGAUGUCGGUGCCGGCGCAAACGCAUUAAGUAUUCCACCUGGGGAGUACGUUCGCAAGAAUGAAACUCAAAGGAAUUGACGGGGACCCGCACAAGCAGUGGAGCAUGAGGUUUAAUUCGAAGCAACGCGAAGAACCUUACCAGGUCUUGACAUGGAGAUGACCGGCUGGUAACGCAGCCUUUCCUUCGGGACAUCUCACACAGGUGGUGCAUGGUUGUCGUCAGCUCGUGUCGUGAGAUGUUGGGUUAAGUCCCGCAACGAGCGCAACCCUUAUUGCCAGUAGCCAGCAGGUGAAGCUGGGCACUCUGGCGAGACUGCCCGGGAUAACCGGGAGGAAGGUGGGGAUGACGUCAAAUCAUCAUGCCCCUUAUGAUCUGGGCAACACACGUGCUACAAUGGCGUAAACAGAGAGAAGCGAACCUGCGAGGGGGAGCAAAUCUUCAAAUAACGUCUCAGUUCGGACUGUAGUCUGCAACCCGCCUACACGAAGUUGGAAUUGCUAGUAAUCGCGAAUCAGCAUGUCGCGGUGAAUACGUUCCCGGGUCCUUGUACACACCGCCCGUCACACCAUGGGAGUCAGCAACGCCCGAAGUCAGUGACCCAACCAAUCGGAGGGAGCUGCCGAAGGCGGGGCGGAUAACUGGGGUGAAGUCGUAACAAGGUAACCGUA